CCUACGGGUGGCUGCAGUGGGGGAUAUUGGACAAUGGGGGAAACCCUGAUCCAGCGACGCCGCGUGAGUGAAGAAGUAUUUCGGUAUGUAAAGCUCUGUCAGCAGGGAAGAAAGAAAUGACGGUACCUGACCAAGAAGCCACGGCUAACUACGGGCCAGCAGCCGCGGGAAUACGUAGGGGGCAAGCGUUAUCCGGAAUUACUGGGUGUAAAGGGAGCGUAGACGGUGAUGCAAGUCUGGAGGGAAAGGCGGGGGCCCAACCCCCGGACUGCUCUGGAAACUGUGUAACUUGAGUGCAGGAGAGGUACGCGGAAUUCCUAGUGUAGCGGUGACAUGCGUAGAUAUUAGGAGGACCCCCAGUGGCGAAGGCGGCUUACUGGACUGUAACUGACGUUGAGGCUCGAAAGCGUGGGGAGCAAACAGGAUUAGAUACCCGAGUAGUC
rnacentral:rRNA from 1 species